rnacentral:rRNA from 1 species
GCAAAAGCUCAAAUUUGAAAUCUGUCACCUUCGGUGUCCGAGUUGUAAUUUGAAGAUUUAAGGUUUACUGGGUCUUGUCUAUGUUCCUUGGAAUAGGACAUCACAGAGGGUGAGAAUCCCGUGCGAUGAGAUGCCGUAUUGUAACCUUUUUUCGACGAGUCGAGUUGUUUGGGAAUGCAGCUCUAAGUGGGUGGUAAAUUCCAUCUAAAGCUAAAUAUUGGCGAGAGACCGAUAGCGAACAAGUACAGUGAUGGAAAGAUGAAAAGAACUUUGAAAAGAGAGUGAAAAAGUACGUGAAAUUGUUGAAAGGGAAGGAUUUGAGAUCAGACUUGGUAUUUUGCAACCUUACUCUCGGGUGGGGCCCCUGCAGUUUACUGGGCCAGCAUCAGUUUGGAUGAUGGGAU